AUAGAGUAGGAUGCCUACCGUAUUCUAUCUCGUUCUUUAAAAAGUGUCACAAAUAGCAAGCAACGUUUAUUUUGCAAUUCGUAACACUUUUUCCUCAAGAACGAGAUAGAAUACGGUUGGCAUCCUACUUUACUUCCACAAUAGUCUGUAAUUUUAGGUAUGUCUUCACCAUUAAUAUAAUUAUUAAUUUAAUCGAAUUGAUUAUUUGUUAUUAAUCAAUUAAUGUAUUCAUUCAAUCCAUUCAUUCAUCUAUCUAAUGAGAUUACGGAAUAUAUUCAACUUAAUGAUACCGUAAUUCAUUGAUGUGCAAGACAAACUUGGAUGUUGUAUCUCCUUAUAUUUUUCAGACGCUUCUGACGAAGUCUUAAAAAAGCUAAAGCUAAGAAUCCUGUGUCAUCUUUUGAGUUGACCUCAUCUAAUAUAUAUAUAUAUAUAUAUAUAUAUAUAUAUAUAUAUAUAUAUAUAUAUAUACAUGAAUAUAUAUAUAUAUAAUUGCUACUCUGUUGUUUUCAUCAAUUCAUGGACUGCCUCAAAGAUGCAUAAGAAAUACGUAUAUGAUACUAACUUUCAGUUGAUUUAAGUUAAAUUAAUGAACUUAAACACUUAAACAUGAACGCACUCCUUAGCGAUAUGUAAACCACAAAAUGGAUUACAACGAAAUGGACACAUCAUAAAUUCAGUCUUACUGGGCCCCAACCCGGGCCCCAACGUGUUUUGUAAGUACGUAACUAUUAUGUUAAAACACUGAGCUCAUAUCCAGUCAUAACUGAAUUAAAGGUGAAGGUUUUGGGAUUAAAUAAUAUACAUCUAGAAUGAGAAAACAAAUUUCGAUCAAAAAUCUUAAUGCGCAUGUUUAUAUUUAUAUGAUUGAAACAAGAUGUAUACUAGAAAAUCAACUUUCCUCUGCUAACGAGAUUAAGAGCUUUUGAUUAAAGGUCCACAGUAGGACAGUUUCAUUUGCUAAGCUAUAAAUCAUUGCUUUCGUGUAAUAGUUUUUGAGAGUUUGAAGUAGAGAUAAUUCACUGCCCUAACAUCUUGUACUUUGAAUGUUUAUUAACUAAAAUGGGACAUAUGAAUAGUCUCUAAUGUUCUCACAGGUUGCCUAGAAAACUAAGCAAAUAUACUACUUAUUUAAUAUAAUACUAAAUGGAGUCACUUCCAAAGUUCAAAAAUCAGAUUUUACGAUAUCAGAUGUUAUAGGGUUAUUAGGAAUGUAAUGAUAUAACGGUACUGUGGAACUGUUGAGUGUUUUCUAGUAAACAAACUUGUCAGUAAAAGCAUCGCACCAAGGAAUGAACUUUUCAGUAAUAACCACUUGCAGCUGAGCAUUACUUUUAAAAAAAUCACUGAUUGGUGUCACAAUAUGAAUGUAUGCAAGUAUUGAUGUAGACCCUUCAGGAGAGUCGAGUUGUUCCUGGUUUUUAGUUCUAAAACUUUCUUAGUCGUCAUGUAAAGUCAGCAAGUCCGGUUUCGCUGUUUUGUUUCAUUUCAUUUUGAAAUAUUUUUCGAUAGCCUAUAUUCGGCAAGACACAAUUUAUGGAGCUAUGAAAUUAGAAACACGCUUUUUCAGUACUCGUGUCAAAAUCCUGGGGGCGGGGGAGGGGCGCCCUCAGUUUGGAAUUAAAAAAGACACCAAUCAAUUAUUUUUUUUCUCAAAGUGUUUGGCCAUGGAGUUUAUGACAAGUUGUAUAUGAUAAUAAUACAAAUAAUUCUAAUAAUAAUGCCUGUUCUCCCAGUGGGCUCUGCUUACUAUGAAAGACCUACUGUUAUGAUUCUUAUUAAUCUACAUUUGUAAUUAUAAUCAAGGGCAUGAAGUAGGUAACCAAUCUAAUGAGAGAAGUUUAACAAUUACUAAAGUUGCCAUAUUAACGUCAUUAUCUCAAACAGACUUGGAUCCAACUACAUUCCCUUGAUGAAAAGCUGUUCCUUGAACCUACCUAUUCACAGAGAAAAUUGCUUAUUUGUAGGCAUCACAACAUGAUGACAAUUCGUAAGGAUGAAAAUAUACAUCAGUAUAAAAUUCACAUUAUUUCAAAUCGUCAGUUUGAAGCAUUAUAAAAAAAACGUGAUAAGGAUGUUCCAGAAAUAUGUAACCGUACAAUACUAUUGGUAUAAGAAACUUAACACACAAUAACAUAUUUUUCAGUGUGUUAAAGUGGUUUAAUUUAAGGACGUGCCUUCAAUUUUCAUUGUUUCUGAAUAUUAAUUUACGACCAGAACAAAUUCUUACGCUAGAAAAGAAGUCAAAAUGUUAUAGCUGUACACAACUUUAAACAAUCGUCUUGUGUGAGAUUUGAGAAUCAUUGAUGAGGUAGGAUAUUUAUCAACCCCCCCCCAAAAAAAAAAUAAAUAAAUAAGUAAUAAUAAAGUAGCACUGCACCCAGAACAAUAAUUCAGGACCAAACACGCAUCUGGCAUAAUUUUGUUGUCACAUUUGCAGUAUGGCAUUUCAUUCAUUCUAAUUCAUGUUCCAAGGAAGGUAAAACAAAAAUUGUUUUAAACUAUAACACCCUUUUGAAAUCACUGUAAUAUUAUUCCAUAAAUCAGAACAUUAUAAUUGAUUUCAUUGUAUGUAUUCAAGUGUUCACUAUUGAUGAAUGUACUAUUGAUGUAUUACUUUUGGUGUUGAGCAUUUUAAAUAAUAUUGGAAUCUUUACUUCAAAUGUGUCAGUAAUGGGUUGAUUUAGAUUAUUUUUGUGAUAUGUACACUUAAAUACAUGCAUUAAUAUGUUCAAAUAUUAUUUUAUUAUGGUUUAGCAGUGUAACUGUAUCAAUUGUAUGUUUGAUAUUAAUGAAGAUUAGAGUGCAAUUGAGAAUCAAUAAUGAAAUCAAAUAUGGAUUGACAAUAAAAAUGGUAAAUUGAAAGACAUUUGGAUGUUCAUAUUUUUGUUUAGAGUCAUGUAAGUCACGAAUAAAAGAUACUGAAGAGAAGGAUUGUGGUGAUGAGAUAAUUAUGUCUGUGGGGGCAUGACAAUUUGCCUUUAUAGCUAGAAUAAAAGAAAGUCUAACAAAGAGAUGAGACAGGUCCUUGACAUCAAGCUUGAUUAUGGAAAGCCAGGGCCACCAUAAUUCAGAUACAAUAUUCCUGUCAGUUCAAAAUGUUCUUUAACCCCAAGUCAGAUGCACUUAGCACUUUAGCACAUUAUUUAUAUACAUUGUCACACAGUCAAAGGUUUGCCUCAGGUAUAAAGCAGGCCUAAAGGCCUGGUCAAUGAAGACUACCCAUUUAGGGCAACAUUUUUAGAUUCAACGUUUAAAAAAAUGGUUUUAGUAACAUGAAUUUUUAAAGAAAUGCUCAUUUACUACCUUUCGUGUGGAAAUGAGAUUGACCUGUCAAGUCAUGCAUGAGUGAGUAAAUGGCUAAAAUGACAAUUCAAAAGUCACAGGGGCCAUUUUGAAGGAUUUAUGAUCCUGAAUUCUGAUAAUUUUUGGAAAUACCAUUGAUUUCAAAUCAUCUAACCUUUGAUGUCCCCUCACACUUUUACACAUGUUUUUACAAGUCUGUGAGCAAAGUCUAAAUAUGAAUUUGUUCAAAAUUACUCAUACAUUGAUCAGUAAAAUAAAUGUGCACAGGUUAUAAAGAUAUGUUGUAACUAACAUGGCCAAGUGAGCACACUUCACAUUAAAAUAAAGGGGUAGAUUUCACCAAUUACUCUCAUUUUGGUUCAAAAUGAUAAGAAAAGUGACAAUUGGUUUACUCAUGCAUGACUGGGGAUAAAUAAUAGUCUGUCACAGAAAUUAGCCAGUAAGUUUAGAAACACUCCUGUCAAAUUUAUCUUCAUCAAAAUGGUUCCGUUAUGAAAUUGUGGUAAUUUAUAAAAGGGGAUAAUUACUUUUGGUCGUGUCCAGAUGGAAUCUAAACUAUACACGGUAAAAUUAAUGUCUCCACCAUUGUCAGAUCAGAAGUAUAUAUUGCAAAUUUGAUACCAUGAAAUCUUGUGAUUUCCCAGUUGGAUUAGAUAAUCUUUGCCUUCAUAUGCAUAUAAAUUUCACCACUCCAUUUUACCAUUGUCACUACAGUCAUAUUUUAAUUUCUUUUCUAGUCAUACAUAGAAAGCUCUUUGAAAUGUACAAUUGUUUUUAUUUAAUUAUUUUGCAUAUAGAAAAUAGAAAUAAUAACCAAUGUUUGGAGGUAAUCUAUCAAGCAUUUCUUAAUUUAUUGUGAGAACAAGAUAUUUGUAAGUACAUGACCUUUGACCUUUUGAUACCAAAAAUCUAAUUAGAUUGUUCCUCCUAUAUGUGUAAAAUAGCCUACUUUUUUAUUGGUCUUUUGUCAUAAAUGGUAGAUGGAGGGGAAGAGUAUACAGAAAAACUAGACUAUAAUUACUUUUCAAACUACAAGACAUACAGGCUUUUUCAUUUUUAAUAUGAAGACAUCUUUAUUACAAAAUAUAUAAAUACAAACAAAAAAAUGGCAUAAUUUGGUUUUAACUGCCAUGAUACAUUUGUAAUACAGCAAAAAAAAUUGAGACAUUUUACUUGUCCUUACAUAUCCUGACAUACAUCUUACUGGUCUGACAAGAUUGGAAUAAGUUUAAACAAGGAAAUGAAACAAAGGCGACCCAUAUUCAGAACCUGUGUUAAGUGUAAACCGAAGGUGUAAACUCUGGUCCAAUGACUGUGGUCUCUAACAGCAUAUGUUUAAAGCCCAACUAAAACUUU